rnacentral:lncRNA from 1 species
GCGAGAGCAAUUUGCACACCCAACAGCAGCAUAGCCUGACCUCAAACUUCUUUUCUUUGUAGGAAGCCCUGUAGCAGUCCCGGAGUGAUGGGACUCCCUGCCUGGCCUGAGAUACCCAGUUAGCACCUGCGAAUCAGAAUUUCCUCUUCGCAGCAAUAAAGCAUCCAGCCUUUGCAUCUGUGACAGCCUCCCCUGUAAUUUAUGCAUUCUAUGGAAAACACCAAAUGAUCUCGGCCAACCUGAUAUAUUAAACACUUCAGAGCAAGAGCUGACCAACUACUACUGGAGGCAGGCCAGUGCCUGAUCUUGUAAAUAAAAUUUUAUUGCAAUGUGGCUACUCUUAUUUG